rnacentral:rRNA from 1 species
AUUGAACGCUGGCGGCAUGCCUUACACAUGCAAGUCGAACGGCAGCACGGGUGCUUGCACCUGGUGGCGAGUGGCGAACGGGUGAGUAAUACAUCGGAACAUGUCCUGUAGUGGGGGAUAGCCCGGCGAAAGCCGGAUUAAUACCGCAUACGAUCCACGGAUGAAAGCGGGGGACCUUCGGGCCUCGCGCUAUAGGGUUGGCCGAUGGCGGAUUAGCUAGUUGGUGGGGUAAAGGCCUACCACGGCGACGACCAGUAGCUGGUCUGAGAGGGUGACCAGCAACGGGGGGACUGAGAUACGCGCCAGAGUCCGACGGGAGACAGCAGUGUGGGAUAUUGCACAACGUGCGGAAGCAGGAAGCAGCAACGCCGCGUGCAGGGUGACGGCCUGCGGGAUGGAAACCGCUUUCGCCUGGGACGAAGCGUGAGUGACGGUAAGGUGUAAAGAAGCACCGGCUAGCUACGUG